rnacentral:lncRNA from 1 species
UGUGCAAACUGUGAUACAAUCCUGACCAAUCGCUCAGAACUCAUCUCUACUCGGUUCACAGGCGCCACUGGUAGAGCAUUUCUUUUUAACAAGUCAUCACCAUAGCUCUGCACUCUUGGUCAGCGGCAUGGCUGUCUGGAGCAGUGGAAGUAUAAUACUGCGUCCCAGUUGAGUGACACAACUCUGUCUUCACCUUGAAUGAAGCUUCAAGACUUAAGAACAAUAUUUAUUUCCACUGAUUUCUGCACUGGCCUGUGAUGCGGAUUCCUAGUCGCAUGCCUCACCUACAGCAUCGUGUGCAUUGCUGUCAAAAUAAAAUAUAUUUUGUCUUGC